rnacentral:tRNA from 1 species
AAGAGUGCCAGAUGUUAUGGGUUGGAUUUAGGUUCCUUUUAGGGUUUGUAACCCUCUU